AGAUGAAGAACGUAGCGAAAUGCGAUACUUGGUGUGAAUUGCAGAAUCCCGUGAACCAUCGAGUCUUUGAACGCAAGUUGCGCCCGAAGCCAUUAGGCCGAGGGCACGCCUGCCUGGGCGUCACACGUCGUUGCCCCCCCCAUCUACUCCUUCGGGAUUGCGGGGGGCGGAUGAUGGCCUCCCGUGCGCCUCGCCGCGCGGUUGGCAUAAAUGCCAAGUCCUCGGCGACGCACGCCACGACAAUCGGUGGUUGCGAAACCUCGGUUGCCCGUCGUGUGCGGUCGUCGCGCAUCGAGGGCUCGAAAAAAUUGCCGAGUUCCGGCUCGGCUUUCAACGCGACCCCAGGUCAGGCGGGGUUACCCGCUGAAUUUAAGCAUAUCAAUAAGCGGAGGA
rnacentral:misc_RNA from 1 species